UUGAACUAGGUAGCACAUAUACUAAAUUUGCAGCAAUAUAGAGAAGAUUAGCAUAGCACCUGCAUGAGGAUGACAUGCAAAUUCAUGAAGAGUUCUACCCAUGA